AAAACAACCCUACGGGAGGCAGCAGGGAGGAAUAUUGGUCAAUGGACGGAAGUCUGAACCAGCCAUGCCGCGUGAAGGAUGAAGGCGUUCUGCGUUGUAAACUUCUUUUAUCUGGGAAGAAACCAUCUUUUUCUAAGGAUGUUGACGGUACCAGAGGAAUAAGCACCGGCUAACUCCGUGCCAGCAGCCGCGGUAAUACGGAGGGUGCAAGCGUUAUCCGGAUUUACUGGGUUUAAAGGGUGUGUAGGCGGACUUUUAAGUCAGGGGUGAAAUCUCCGAGCUCAACUCGGAAACUGCCUUUGAUACUAUUAGUCUUGAAUUAUGUUGAGGUUGGCGGAAU
rnacentral:rRNA from 1 species